rnacentral:rRNA from 1 species
GGAAGGUUUAAGUCUAUAAACUCCAACCCUUUGUGACCUUACCGUCGUUGCCUCGGCGUGCGCUGCGGCUGCGCGGGAGCGGCCUGCCCCGAGAGGGGCGGACGCCUACCCCGCAGCCGGCCGACAGCCCGCCAGUGGACCGUCAAAACUCUGUUUUUACCACUGCAUCUCUGAAUUAUCAAACUAAAAUAAGUUAAAACUUUCAACAACGGAUCUCUUGGUUCUGGCAUCGAUGAAGAACGCAGCGAAAUGCGAUAAGUAAUGUGAAUUGCAGAAUUCAGUGAAUCAUCGAAUCUUUGAACGCACAUUGCGCCCAUUAGUAUUCUAGUGGGCAUGCCUAUUCGAGCGUCAUUUCAACCCCUAAGCCCUGCUGCUUAGCGUUGGGAGCCUGCGGCCCGCGAGGUCGCAGCUCCCCAAAGUCAGUGGCGGAGUUAUAGCACACUCUAAGCGUAGUAAUCUCUUACCCCUCGCUUCUGCAGUGGCCGUAGCUGCCUGCCGUCAAACCCCCCCCAGAUUUAUCUAAUGGUUGACCUCGGAUUAGGUAGGAAUACCCGCUGAACUUAAGCAUAUCAAUAAGCGGAGGAA